rnacentral:lncRNA from 1 species
GGCAAUCCUCACCUCAUAAGCUAGCUUUUGGGGUUGAGUUAGGCCCAAGGUCCAUUCUUAUCAUGGUAUCAGAGCCUAGACGACGAUCCGACUAUGUUUUUCUGCAUCUCGUUGUUUGGUUGAAGUCUCUUUUGAGAUUUUUUGGGGGUGUUUCUGAGGCCUUAUGGUCGAUGACGAUUCCGAUCUAAAUCGGAUACUUUUCUGAGACUUUCUUCGUGAUAUCUGAGUAUAUCUUCUCCACUCGAACGUUCUGGGAGGUUUUACGAUGAUUUUUGGGUGAUUUUUCGGUGACCUGUCGGCUUCUAGGGUUUCUGGUGGUUUAACCUAGCGUUUUACUGCUAUCCGGUGGCUCGAUUCUCACUCAGUGGAUGUUUUG